GGCCUCGUAGCUAAGUUGGAUAGAGCGUUGGUUGUACGAAAGCCUUACCCUUGCUGGCGUGGGUUCAAAUCCCAUCGAGGUCG
rfam:Schistocephalus solidus strain NST_G2 genome assembly, scaffold: SSLN_scaffold0004646